rnacentral:sRNA from 1 species
GGGCCAUAAACCUCGAAGCCAGGUCUUGAGCGUCAGACAGAAUGAGAUGUCCCAGAGCGGCGGAGGAGAGCCGGACGCACGCUGGUUCCGGUCUGGACGGAAUCGCCGCGGAGCACGGCAGAGGCUAGGGCGGAAUGGCUACGGCAGCGCAGUUCGCCAAGGCUCGCUCCGGUGUCGGCGGGUGGCGCGGCGCCCCCGGAGGGGGCCAUAUCUAACGGGGUUUACGUACUGCCGAGCGCGGCCAACGGAGACGUGAAGCCCGUGGUGUCCAGCACGCCUUUGGUGGACUUCCUGAUGCAGCUGGAAGAUUACACGCCUACGAUCCCAGAUGCAGUGACUGGUUACUACCUGAACCGUGCUGGCUUUGAGGCCUCAGACCCACGCAUAAUUCGGCUCAUCUCCUUAGCUGCCCAGAAAUUCAUCUCAGAUAUUGCCAAUGAUGCCCUACAGCACUGCAAAAUGAAGGGCACAGCCUCCGGCAGCUCCCGGAGCAAGAGCAAGG